rnacentral:rRNA from 1 species
UUGCUAGUAAUCGCGGAUCAGCAUGCCGCGGUGAAUACGUUCCCGGGUCUUGUACACACCGCCCGUCACACCAUGGGAGCCGGUAAUACCCGAAGUCAGUAGUUUAACCCUUGUGGAGGACGCUGCCGAAGGUAGGAUUGGCGACUGGGGUGAAGUCGUAACAAGGUAUC